CCCGUGAACCUUUACUAUAGCUUGACACUGAACAUUGAGCCUUGAUGUGUAGGAUAGGUGGGAGGCUUUGAAGUGUGGACGCCAGUCUGCAUGGAGCCGACCUUGAAAUACCACCCUUUAAUGUUUGAUGUUCUAACGUUGACCCGUAAUCCGGGUUGCGGACAGUGUCUGGUGGGUAGUUUGACUGGGGCGGUCUCCUCCUAAAGAGUAACGGAGGAGCACGAAGGUUGGCUAAUCCUGGUCGGACAUCAGGAGGUUAGUGCAAUGGCAUAAGCCAGCUUGACUGCGAGCGUGACGGCGCGAGCAGGUGCGAAAGCAGGUCAUAGUGAUCCGGUGGUUCUGAAUGGAAGGGCCAUCGCUCAACGGAUAAAAGGUACUCCGGGGAUAACAGGCUGAUACCGCCCAAGAGUUCAUAUCGACGGCGGUGUUUGGCACCUCGAUGUCGGCUCAUCACAUCCUGGGGCUGAAGUAGGUCCCAAGGGUAUGGCUGUUCGCCAUUUAAAGUGGUACGCGAGCUGGGUUUAGAACGUCGUGAGACAGUUCGGUCCCUA
rnacentral:rRNA from 1 species